UUUAAUAAGGUGGAAACUCUAGGCUUGUGGUUGCCUCUUGGCUGACCAAGAGCAAAGGAUUUUUCCACAUGUUUUUAUGUCUUAAUUCUAGUUUAAUUAGGUAUAAUGACACCAUCAAUUGUUGUUAUUGGUGAUCAUUUGUCUUAAUUCUAGUUUUAAUUAGGUAUAAUGACACCAUCAAUUGUUGUUAUUGGUGAUCAUUUCAUCUUCUCACUUGUGUAACCAACUUGAUGUCAUUCUUAUUUGUGGGUUGCACAUUUUCUAAUAAAAA
rnacentral:lncRNA from 1 species